rnacentral:rRNA from 1 species
UUUCCAGACUCCUACGGGAGGCAGCAGUGAGGGAUAUUGGUCAAUGGGGGAAACCCUGAACCAGCAACGCCGCGUGAGGGAAGACGGUUUUCGGAUUGUAAACCUCUGUCCUCUGUGAAGAUAAUGACGGUAGCAGAGGAGGAAGCCCCGGCUAACUACGUGCCAGCAGCCGCGGUAAUACGUAGGGGGCUAGCGUUAUCCGGAAUUACUGGGCGUAAAGGGUGCGUAGGUGGUUUCUUAAGUCAGAGGUGAAAGGCUACGGCUCAACCGUAGUAAGCCUUUGAAACUGGGGAACUUGAGUGCAGGAGAGGAGAGUGGAAUUCCUAGUGUAGCGGUGAAAUGCGUAGAUAUUAGGAGGAACACCAGUUGCGAAGGCGGCUUACUGGACUGUAACUGACGUUGAGGCUCGAAAGCGUGGGGAGCAAACAGGAUUAGAUACCCGAGUA